UCCCUGGUGGCUCAGAUGGUAAAGCAUCUGCCUGCAAUGCAGGCAACCCAGGUUCAAUCCCUGGCUUGGGAA
rnacentral:tRNA from 1 species